UUAGUGGCGGACGGGUGAGUAACGCGUGAGCAACCUGUCCUGCAGAGGGGGACAACAACGGGAAACCGUUGCUAAUACCGCAUGAGACCACGGGCUCGCAUGGGGCCGGGGUAAAAGGAGGAAUCCGCUGCAGGAGGGGCUCGCGUCCCAUUAGAUAGUUGGCGGGGUAACGGCCCACCAAGUCGACGAUGGGUAGCCGGACUGAGAGGUUGAACGGCCACACUGGGACUGAGACUCGGCCCAGACUCCUACGGGAGGCAGCAGUGGGGAAUAUUGGGCAAUGGGCGCAAGCCUGACCCAGCAACGCCGCGUGAAGGAAGAAGGUCUUCGGAUUGUAAACUUCUGUCAUUGGGGACGAAGGAAGUGACGGUACCCAAUGAGGAAGCCCCGGCUAACUACGUGCCAGCAGCCGCGGUAAUACGUAGGGGGCGAGCGUUGUCCGGAAUUACUGGGCGUAAAGGGUGCGUAGGCGGCGAUGCAAGUCCAUUGUGAAAAGCCCGGGCUUAACCUGGGAGGUGCAGUGGAAACUGCAUGGCUUGAGUGCAGGAGAGGAAAGUGGAAUUCCUAGUGUAGCGGUGAAAUGCGUAGAUAUUAGGAGGAACACCAGUGGCGAAGGCG
rnacentral:rRNA from 1 species